CGCGGCCUAUCAGCUUGUUGGUGAGGUAACGGCUCACCAAGACGACGACGGGUAGCCGGCCUGAGAGGGUGACCGGCCACACUGGGACUGAGACACGGCCCAGACUCCUACGGGAGGCAGCAGUGGGGAAUAUUGCACAAUGGGCGCAAGCCUGGUGCAGCAACGCCGCGUGAGGGACGACGGCCUUCGGGUUGUAAACCUCUUUUAGCAGGGAAGAAGCGAAAGUGACGGUACCUGCAGAAAAAGCACCGGCUAACUACGUGCCAGCAGCCGCGGUAAUACGUAGGGUGCAAGCGUUGUCCGGAAUUAUUGGGCGUAAAGAGCUCGUAGGCGGUUUGUCACGUCUGCUGUGAAAUCCCGAGGCUCAACCUCGGGCUUGCAGUGGGUACGGGCAGACUAGAGUGCGGUAGGGGAGAUUGGAAUUCCUGGUGUAGCGGUGGAAUGCGCAGAUAUCAGGAGGAACACCGAUGGCGAAGGCAGAUCUCUGGGCCGUAACUGACGCUGAGGAGCGAAAGCAUGGGGAGCAAACAGGCUUAGAUACCCUGGUAGUCCAUGCCGUAAACGUUGGGAACUAGAUGUGGGGACCAUUCCACGGUCUCCGUAUCGUAGCUAACGCAUUAAGUUCCCCGCCUGGGGAGUACGG
rnacentral:rRNA from 1 species